ensembl:lncRNA
GACAGGCAGUACUCUUUCCCUGUUUUUUCAGUCACCUUUCAUCUAUUCAGGAUGAUGCCAUCACUGUGACUGAGUAGAAGGCAUGAAGCAUAUUGUCUUCUCAUUUCGUGAUUGUGAUGAAAGAUCAGAGAUGAUCCAUGAAAGCAAAUUUCCCUGUAGUUCCUGAGUUUAGAGGCAGAGCAGUGUCCUCCCUAAUACAUACUUUCCUUGCUCAUCCAAACAUAGGAAAAGGGAAAAUGAAGUUCCUUAAAAGUUGUAAGAAUGCUUUCCAUUGUGUCCGCAUGAAAGAGAAAACAUAAAAACCUCAUAUGUGAUGAUCUGAUGCCACUGUGUCAUCAUUUUUCUCCAUUUGUGUGACAUAUUGCUGAUACGGAUCUUAUACUGUCAAGAACAGGAGGCUCAUGGGAGACCUUGUGUCUCUCUACAACUACCUGAAAGGAGGCUACAGUGAGGUGGAUGUUGGCCUCUUCUCCUGGGUAACAGCUACAGGAUGAGAGGGAAUGGCCUUGAAUUGCAGAAGAGGGUCAGGUUAGAUGUUAGGAAAAAUUUAUUCUCAGAAAGAGUGGUGAGGCAUUGGCACAGGCUGCCUGGGGAGGUGUUCACUGUGAUUCUAAAAUUCGAGCUCCCCUUGUGAGGAAAGUGUUUCUGCAACUGGUUACUGAGCUGCCUGUACAUGUACAGAUACGAUAUUCAUAUAUGUGCCACAGUGCCUGUAUUGAUCUGAAUGAUGCCUUUUGUUCUUUUGGUAAAAGCAGUGCCCUCAUGAAACACUUGCAAAUCUGGCAGUCCUGAUAGAUUUUGUGUUCAAAGGGAUGUUGAUCCAUGGAUGAAAUAUGGAUAAGCUUCAAAGAAGUUUUCUAACCUUCACUUGCAACUAAUCUCCCUGCCAGUAUUUUCUUCUCUUCCCCUAUUUUGGGAACUCAAAAAUCACUGAGAGUGUUGGUAAUCCCAAAUUUCAGACCCGUGGUAAAAACUGAACUUUCUAUUUUUCUGCAUACUCAGUUGUUUUUAAAUUACAUAGUAUAAAUUAAAGGAUUCAGCAACUGAAGACGGGAUGUUUGUAGGCAAAGGCGGCAUGAAAAGAAACAAUU